ACAGCCAUAUAACGUUGAAACACCGGUUCCCAUAGGAUCACUGUAAUUAAGCAACGUCGAGCCUGGUCAGUACCUAGAUGGGUAACCGCUUAGGAAUACCAGGUGCUGUUA